rnacentral:rRNA from 1 species
UACGAAGGGGGGCUAGCGUUGCUCGGAAUCACUGGGCGUAAAGGGUGCGUAGGCGGGUCUUUAAGUCAGAGGUGAAAUCCUGGAGCUCAACUCCAGAACUGCCUUUGAUACUGAAGAUCUUGAGUUCGGGAGAGGUGAGUGGAACUGCGAGUGUAGAGGUGAAAUUCGUAGAUAUUCGCAAGAACACCAGUGGCGAAGGCGGCUCACUGGCCCGAUACUGACGCUGAGGCACGAAAGCGUGGGGAGCAAACAGG